GGUUACUGGCGGGUUUCCAAGCAGAGUAGUUUGACUUCGCUUAUGGGUUAGGAGGAUCACGCUGGCUGCUGAGUUGGAAAUAGACUAAAGGUAAGCAGAAAGACCAGGCAGGAAGCUAUUUCAACACUCCUUAUUUCAGGAACAAUCACCAGAAUGUGAGCAGAGGGCAAGGUGAGAAGUGGUCAGAUUCUGGACAUAUUAAGAAGGCAGAAGGAAUACAAUUUGAUAACAGACUGGAUGUAAAUUUAAGAAAAAGAGGAAAGUUAAUGAUUCUACCAAGAAUCUGGAUGAAGCAACAAAGCCAUAAUUGCCAUUAGCAAGAUGGAGAAGACUUAGGAGGAAGCAGGUUUUGUGGUCACAGAUCAGGAGUCUGAUUUGGGACAUGUUAAGUUUGGAAUGAUCAAACAUCCUUGGAGAGAUAUUAAAGGGCAAUUAGCUAUGUCUGAAUUUCAGAAAAGAGGUAUAGACUAGAGAUGCCAAUUUGAGAGUUAUGAGCAUAUAUUUAAAGAUCAGAUAGUAGUUGAGAUCAUCAAAGCACUGGGCUAAAGAAGAGAUCCAAGGAUUGGGAUCUUGUGUAUUCCAGGAGGUCAGCAAAAGGAGCAAGUAAAAGGGUCUGAGAAAGAAUGACUGAAGAAGAACUGGUAAAAGGGACAAAAGCCAUCAUGAAGUGAGCAGUUCUGCUCCACCAUCCACUCCUGGCCAUGAUGUUCUGCUUUGCCACAGGCCCGGAACAAUGGAGCCAAAUGAUCAUGGAUUAAAACCUUGGAAGCCACAAGCCAAAAUAUAUCUCUUCUUUUAAGCUAAUUAUCUCAGGCCUCAGGUCCUUCUGAUACUAAAAUCAAUGCUUUCUCAACUGCAUCAUGCUGCUGAAAAUGAGCAAGAGGAGUCAACACAAAUAUAAAGGAGAAAUGAUAUUAAAAUUCUUAUUUUUAUAGGUUAAAGACAAUACCUUGCCUUGCUUACAGACUUGCAAAUAGCACAGUUGUGCAAUUCCUGUUCCUACAACUUUAAAAUUGACAGAUGGUAUUUGGAGAGCUAUGAUCUGGUGAACAAUGAAAUUUAACAGAGAUAGAUAUAAGAUCUUGUACCAACGGCCAAACAGUCAUAAAGCACAUCGUGGAGGAAGUUAUCUUAGAAGAAUCAAACAGAAGAUUCUGGAACUUUAGUAGAAAGUAAGCUCAGUAAGCUCAGAAACAAAGCGACUCUUUAAAAUUCACUAAUAGUUGGAUAAUGGUAGAAUGAAGAAAAUGAUAGUGCUUGUGGCAGGCACAAUUCCAAGGUGACCCCAGUGACACACAACCAUAUAUAAUCCCCAUGCUUUGCAGCUUUGCACAUGGGUGGACUAAGUAAGGAUGGGAUUCCACUUCCAUGAUGGAGGGCAGCAAUGGAAUGCAAAGAGCUGGGCGUGGAGAAGCAAAAAUCCAUGCUGCGAACUGCACCUGGAGAGAGAUGGCCUCUAGGAGCCGAGGGCCUCAGUUCUACACCACAAAGAGCCAGAUCCUGCCAACAAUCAAGAUGAACCUGGAGAGGUCUCCACACACUAACACAGCUUUAUGGGGUCUUGAGCCGAAGAGUGAGGUAGCCAUGCCCUGACUGCUGACCCACAGAGACAGAAAAUAAACGUGUGUUGUUUUAAGAUGCUAAAUGUGUGGUAAUAGUCACACAGCAAUAAAAAAAUGGAUACAGCGCCA